CCUUCGCCAUCUGCCGCCAGCCGGAAAUCGCCUCCGCCGGCGGCUGUGCACCAAACUGUCCGAAAUUAACACCACCGGUCCCCCUUGGCCUCCUCCACCCAAAUCCAAGCCCCAGUCAUUUCAAAUAUAACUCAGGCUUGUCGAAAAAAGUUUUGAAAUCUCGGCAGCUCCGCCGCCCAUGGUGGCGCCGGCUUCGAUAGCCACCAAAAACACACCCCUGAACCGCCUCCGACACCCCUUCCAAAUCCGAACCCCAUAUCUCUCAAAUCCUAGCCGGAGUGUUCAAGUCUUCAAUCAAAGGAGACGGUCAAACCCCAAAACCCCCCAAAUACCACCAAAACAACACCCCAUAAACCCUUUCCCUCCCUCAUGCUUAAUAUGUCGUUAGUUUCCUUCGAAACCAUACAGAAUUGCACAAUUAUUAAAUCUAAGGUUUGUUCAAGGCUAUUCGGAUUUCCAAGGUCGCCGGUGUUUGAUUUGGGUCUGGAAUAAUGCUAUGUGUUGUUCUUGGUAAAGAACAAAUAACAUUAUUCGAGGAUCAAAUCCAAGGUCAGCCAAGUAACACACCCAAAACCAGUGAGUUUUCUUAAUUUUUUGUUUUGUUAUUUAAUUAAUUUCGCUCCCAUGAUUAUUUUGCUUCAUGAUUUAAUUACUUUGAGUCGUCAUCUGUUUUGAGUCAGUAAGUCUUUUUCAGCUGGUAAAAUUUUUCUUCAUGUUAAUUCUAAUUUGUCUUAGUAGUUGUUUUGAUUUGAUUCUGUUUUGUUUUGAUUUUGUAUUUGGUUUCAAUUAAUUGAUUCAGGGAUGUUAUGGUUGAAUUGAUCUUAGUCCUAUGCGUUUAUGGUUAGUUCAUCUUUUAUCCUAGGUUAGUUAGAAUUAAUGUGUUUAGGUAAAUUGAUUUUCUUUUUUAGAUUAGUUUAGAUAUAUCUGAAUACCCCAACCCUAUUUUGACCAACUUUGAUUAGUUUGGAUUAAGGUUAACUAGUUUGAGAGUUAGUUUGGCUGGUUUGUUAAAUUUCAGAUUAAGUAAAGGUUAGUAUAGGCAUUUCCAAAUAUAGAACAAUGUUGUAGUUGAGACUGGAACCCCUAGUCUCUUCAAGAAGAGGGUUGUAGUUAAAAUUUAAGGAAUAUAAGUGCAGUAACUUGGGCAAUAAGCCAAAACCUUAGGAACUAAUUAAGCUAAAAAUAAAAAAUAAAAAGAGGGACUAAGGGUGCAAAACUAAAAGGAGAGGUCUUCCCUAUUUGCUUGCCUAUAAAGGCAUUGCAAACUUGCCUUUCAAGUCAGAGGGAUUAGAAGCUGAAAAUCUGAAAAUAACCCACACAAGUUUUAGAAAGAGAUUAGAAGCUGAAAAAUUGGAAGACUACACAUAAAAAUUGCUAGAAGUUCUUAAGAUCUGAAAUUUGGCUCUUAAACAUAUUGUUCCAUUGAAAUUCUCUUAGAUUAAGUUUGAAUUCCAGCUUUUAGAUCAAAUUCUCAGUUCAUAGAAGUGGUUUAUUGGUGUUCAUUCAUCUGCAAAUCAUUCCUGGGUUUUGUGACAUUUUUGUUCUAAAACUGGUCCUGUUUGCUGCUGGUGUUAACUGCUGAUUGUUGUUUGCCACUGCUGACUACUUCUUUUUCCUUUAUUUUGCUUCAACAUCCAGGUACUGUUCCAGCCCUCACACGAUUAGUGAAAUUCGAGUAAAAUGUGAACAACAUUGGAAGAGCGGAAUGUAAUAUAAGCUAUUUUUAUUGGUGUUUUUGUUUAGUUUAAGUUCCAAAUGCAUAUUAUAAUUGUAUCUAUUUGAAUAAUCAUCUCUUAUAUUAGCUG
rnacentral:lncRNA from 1 species